rnacentral:pre_miRNA from 1 species
CAUGCACUGGUGGGGUCCCUCGGCCUGGCCUGUGCCCUCUUGCAAGCCGGGACCCCUCAGGGGAUGUCUGGGAGCCAGUUUGGCCCAAUCCCGGCAGGCCAGGCUGAGGGACCCCACCGGUGCACG